GCCCUUGUAGUUCAACGGAUAGAAUAGCGGUUUCCUAAACCGUAGAUUCGAGUUCGAUUCUCGACGGGGGUA
rnacentral:tRNA from 1 species